CUUCAGAUGACGACUCCCAAAUAGGACGAAACACGCGUCUUAAAU
rnacentral:hammerhead_ribozyme from 1 species